UAUUGGUUCCAUUCCCCCUAGUAUUAAUGAUCCAUUUGCAGUGACGAUGACAAUCAUAGUUUAGGGCAAGAAAUAUAGAAGAUAAAGAAAAAUAUAAACAAUUACAACUGUACAGUAGAAAUGAUCGACAAAACAAGAUAAACAGAAGACAACAAGGCCUAAAUGGUGAGACUUCUUGGUUUUCAUGAUCAUCAACAGGUCUAUACAGAAGAGGAAACUUAAGGUUGAUACUUUUCUACAUUGUGUGCUAAUUGGAUUAAUGUGAAAUGAAAUGUGUGCUUACCUGGAAAAAGAAAAUAGGAAAUUUCUACAAAAUGGUUGUAAACAAAAUGGAGUACAAUCAUAGAUGCACAAGAACACAAUUGUGUAAUUGCAACAACCUACAUAUUCACUGAAGGGUUAUGGAGAAAUGUAGAAAAAAUAGUAUUUUGUUGUCGAAAUAAACACCUGCUUUAUCCAUUCAUGUUCAUAGCUCUGUCACAUCAAAUAUACAGAGGAAGAUGUUUGAAGAACAAAUUGCAAAACUGUAUUCUCUACCAAUUGAAGGAAGAUGUCUGGUGGAUGGAAUUAUUUAUGCACUGAACUGUUAUGUAGGGGAUUGAAUAAUUGUAUGCAGCAGCUUAAACAGAAGAAAAGUUAAAUUAACAUGAAAAGUGGUUAUUUUAUUUAAUCUGCAAAUAUGAGCACAAUAUUAAUAACAU